GCGGAAGUAAAAGCCAGUAGUAGGACAAAUAGAAGAAGAGAAAUAACCAGCAACUAAUGAUAUCAGAGCGAGUAAAGUGUUAACAUCUAUACCAAAGUAAAGAAAUAAAGCUAGACAAUAAAAGAAGUCAUAAGUAGUACAAGAUCUGUCUCCAAAAUACAAAAGUGGUGGUCUCUAGUACACUGGUAAAACUCUCAACCUCUCGCAAAAAGAAAUAAAAAUCGAGAGGUGGACCACCUAGCAACUCGUCCUC
rnacentral:lncRNA from 1 species